UACGUAGGGUGCAAGCGUUAAUCGGAAUUACUGGGCGUAAAGCGUGCGCAGGCGGUUGUGUAAGACAGAUGUGAAAUCCCCGGGGCUCAACCUGGGAACUGCAUUUGUGACUGCACGGGCUGGAGUGCGGCAGAGGGGGGAUGGAAUUCCGCGUGUAGCAGUGAAAUGCGUAGAUAUGCGGAGGAACACCGAUGGCGAAGGCAAUCCCCUGGGCCUGCACUGACGCUCAUGCACGAAAGCGUGGGGAGCAAACAGG
rnacentral:rRNA from 1 species